CAGGCUUAACACAUGCAAGUCGAGGGGCAGCAUGGUCUUAGCUUGCUAAGGCCGAUGGCGACCGGCGCACGGGUGAGUAACACGUAUCCAACCUGCCGUCUACUCUUGGACAGCCUUCUGAAAGGAAGAUUAAUACAAGAUGGCAUCAUGAGUCCGCAUGUUCACAUGAUUAAAGGUAUUCCGGUAGACGAUGGGGAUGCGUUCCAUUAGAUAGUAGGCGGGGUAACGGCCCACCUAGUCUUCGAUGGAUAGGGGUUCUGAGAGGAAGGUCCCCCACAUUGGAACUGAGACACGGUCCAAACUCCUACGGGAGGCAGCAGUGAGGAAUAUUGGUCAAUGGGCGAGAGCCUGAACCAGCCAAGUAGCGUGAAGGAUGACUGCCCUAUGGGUUGUAAACUUCUUUUAUAAAGGAAUAAAGUCGGGUAUGGAUACCCGUUUGCAUGUACUUUAUGAAUAAGGAUCGGCUAACUCCGUGCCAGCAGCCGCGGUAAUACGGAGGAUCCGAGCGUUAUCCGGAUUUAUUGGGUUUAAAGGGAGCGUAGAUGGAUGUUUAAGUCAGUUGUGAAAGUUUGCGGCUCAACCGUAAAAUUGCAGUUGAUACUGGGUAUCUUGAGUGCAGUUGAGGCAGGCGGAAUUCGUGGUGUAGCGGUGAAAUGCUUAGAUAUCACGAAGAACUCCGAUUGCGAAGGCAGCCUGCUAAGCUGCAACUGACAUUGAGGCUCGAAAGUGUGGGUAUCAAACAGGAUUAGAUACCCUGGUAGUCCACACGGUAAACGAUGAAUACUCGCUGUUUGCGAUAUACUGCAAGCGGCCAAGCGAAAGCGUUAAGUAUUCCACCUGGGGAGUACGCCGGCAACGGUGAAACUCAAAGGAAUUGACGGGGGCCCGCACAAGCGGAGGAACAUGUGGUUUAAUUCGAUGAUACGCGAGGAACCUUACCCGGGCUUAAAUUGCAGAUGAAUUACGGUGAAAGCCGUAAGCCGCAAGGCAUCUGUGAAGGUGCUGCAUGGUUGUCGUCAGCUCGUGCCGUGAGGUGUCGGCUUAAGUGCCAUAACGAGCGCAACCCUUGUUGUCAGUUACUAACAGGUUCCGCUGAGGACUCUGACAAGACUGCCAUCGUAAGAUGUGAGGAAGGUGGGGAUGACGUCAAAUCAGCACGGCCCUUACGUCCGGGGCUACACACGUGUUACAAUGGGGGGUACAGAGGGCCGCUACCACGCGAGUGGAUGCCAAUCCCCAAAACCUCUCUCAGUUCGGACUGGAGUCUGCAACCCGACUCCACGAAGCUGGAUUCGCUAGUAUCGCGCAUCAGCCACGGCGCGGUGAAUACGUUCCCGGGCCUUGUACACACCGCCCGUCAAGCCAUGGGAGCCGGGGGUACCUGAAGUGCGUAACCGCGAGGAGCGCCCUAGGGUAAAACUGGUGACUGGGGCUAA
rnacentral:rRNA from 1 species